rnacentral:rRNA from 1 species
AUUGAACGCUGGCGGCAGGCCUAACACAUGCAAGUCGAACGGUAACAGGAAACAGCUUGCUGUUUCGCUGACGAGUGGCGGACGGGUGAGUAAUGUCUGGGAAACUGCCUGAUGGAGGGGGAUAACUACUGGAAACGGUAGCUAAUACCGCAUAACGUCGCAAGACCAAAGAGGGGGACCUUCGGGCCUCUUGCCAUCGGAUGUGCCCAGAUGGGAUUAGCUAGUAGGUGGGGUAACGGCUCACCUAGGCGACGAUCCCUAGCUGGUCUGAGAGGAUGACCAGCCACACUGGAACUGAGACACGGUCCAGACUCCUACGGGAGGCAGCAGUGGGGAAUAUUGCACAGUGGGCGCAAGCCUGAUGCAGCCAUGCCGCGUGUAUGAAGAAGGCCUUCGGGUUGUAAAGUACUUUCAGCGGGGAUGAAGGGAGUAAAGUUAAUACCUUUGCUCAUUGACGUUACCCGCAGAAGAAGCACCGGCUAACUCCGU